ensembl:lncRNA
GGGGGUACCAGCACAGAGUCAAUGUGGAGGCUAUAUACAGGGGGUACCAGCACAGAGUCAAUGUGGAGGCUAUAUACAGGGGGUACCGGUACAGAGUCAAUGUGGAGGCUAUAUACAGGGGGUACCGGUACAGAGUCAAUGUGGAGGCUAUAUACAGGGGGUACCAGCACAGAGUCAAUGUGGAGGCUAUAUACAGGGGGUACCAGCACAGAGUCAAUGUGGAGGCUAUAUACAGGGGGUACCAGUACAGAGUCAAUGUGGAGGCUAUACACAGGGG